UACAGAGGUCUCAAGCGUUGUUCGGAUUCAUUGGGCGUAAAGGGUGCGUAGGCGGCGCGGUAAGUCGGGUGUGAAAUCUUGGAGCUUAACUCCGAAACUGCAUUCGAUACUGCCGUGCUUGAGGACUGGAGAGGAGACUGGAAUUUACGGUGUAGCGGUGAAAUGCGUAGAUAUCAGGAGGAAUACCAAUGGCGAAGGCAGUGCUCUGGGCUAACACUGACGCUGAGGUGCGAAAGCGUGGGUAGCGAACGGG
rnacentral:rRNA from 1 species